rnacentral:rRNA from 1 species
UGGGGAAUAUUGGGCAAUGGAGGCAACUCUGACCCAGCAACGCCGCGUGAAUGAUGAAGGUCUUCGGAUUGUAAAGUUCUUUAAUGAGGGAAAAAGACAGUGAUGGUACCUCAAGAAUAAGCCACGGCAAACUACGUGCCAGCAGCCGCGGUAAUACGUAGGUGGCAAGCGUUGUCCGGAAUGACUGGGCGUAAAGGGUGCGUAGGCGGUUUUGUAAGUUAGAAGUGAAAUCCCCGGGCUUAACUCGGGAACUACUUCUAAGACUGCAAGGCUUGAGUGAUGGAGAGGUAAAUGGAAUUCCUAGUGUAGCGGUGGAAUGCGUAGAUAUUAGGAGGAACACCAGAGGCGAAGGCGAUUUACUGGACAUUAACUGACGCUGAGGCACGAAAGCGUGGGGAGCAAACA